CCGCAGCCCCCUGGGUCUGUGCAGUGACCAGCCAGUCCCCUGAGAACUUUCCCCUCCAACACCAGGGAAAAUGCGAUUUUUGCUCCUUUUAUUUUUCGCUGCAGCAGCUUUGGAAGGUGUCCGGUCCCAGAAGCUGGUGGAGUCCGGAGGGGACGUGAAAAAGCCCGGAGACUCUCUCCGCCUCUCCUGCAAAGCCUCCGGCUUCACCUUCAGCAGCUACUACAUGGACUGGGUCCGGCAGGCUCCCGGGAAGGGGCUGGAGUGGGUGGCUGAGAUUAGAGCCGAUGCAUCCAAGCAAUGGUAUUCCCCAGCUGUUCAAGGGCGAUUCACCAUCUCCAGGGAUAACGCCAAGAGUGAGCUGUAUCUGCAGAUGACCGGCCUGAAGCCCGAGGACACCGCCCGCUAUUACUGUGCGAGACACACAGUGAGAGUAAAACGGCCCAUGCUAAUACCAAAACCGGAGCUGCGGGACUUCCCGCGCCGGCCGCGUGGGGGCAGCAACGACACAAGCAAAACUCUCCUGUCGGGGCCGCAGGAGGGGCAAGGGCCGUCAGGACUGAAACCUCCGACAUCGCGGGUUAACUCUUUCAUGUCCGGACUACGUCCCCCCUCCCAGCGCAUUGCGGAGCGCUGCUCGCCUCACGCAAACGGCUCUUCUCGUGCGAGUGAACUGGGGAUCUCCGGGGAGCGAAGCAACGAGCCAUUGGUCCCUUCUCCAUCCGGCUAA